GAGAGAUUCAUCGUCAUUCCGCGGCGUACGGGCUGCGCGCUUCGAUGUCGUCGACCUCGGUCCUCUGACACGACGCGCGUCCGUCGACGUCCGCGGACGGCGUGCACUUCUCUCUUAGUAAAUACAUCGCGACCCGUUCGAUGUCGGUCUAAGCGCCGUUCGGGAGCCCCGUGGUCCCCUAACUUUAGGGGUCUGCGGGACCGCGACGGUGGCCGACCGGCCGUCGGACGGUAGUUCUGACGAAACGCGCACGCGUUUAUAACGCGUCCGGCCCGACGCAAGUCAACGUCGUAUCCAACGUACCGCCUUAGCGCGGACGUAGGUGCGGCGCGUCUGUUGUUGCAGCCGUGCAGUCUCGGAC
rnacentral:rRNA from 1 species